AGGCCGGGACCUGAGCCUGGGCGGCGGCGGCAGUGGCGUGCCCUUUGGGCAUCUGCCCUCUCCGGGAGAAGGGAAGUCCAGGACUGGGCCCACAGUCAACCUAGCAGGUUGGGCAAGUUAACCUGGGAAGGCGGAGUUCCCACACCCCGGAGCCCCAGGGAGGUCCUGGACCUAGGCCUAGCCACUGCAGAAGUUGGGUCUGACUCUACCCAGGGAGCCUGAAGAGGCCCAGGAGUAAACCCUGGAACCCAAACUGUGCCCUCCUGGUGACCUUGAGCAGAGCCCACAUCCCUUCCCGGUGUUUCUCAUCCAAGGAUUCUCAGCUUCCCACCCACCCAGCGGAGAGAGAAGUGCACUUCCUUGGCACCCUCUGCUGAGCCGGGCCCAACCAAAGAGCUCACCCAGGGCACCUGCCCUCUGACCCUGUGAUUCUGUUAGACUUGGGGACUGCCCGUUCUCAUCCCAGUGUGACCUUCAUGAGCAGAGCCCCCUGCUGGCCCACAAGGGACAUGGACCUUUGAUGAGAAACCGACCUUUGUUGUCUUAAGCCAGAGCAAGCCCAGUCAGUCUUUCCCAGGAUCUUAAGCACCCUCAAACACAACGAACGUGUGUCUAGCAGCUGCAGGGAAGCGGGCACUGUGUGCUGAGGACACGAGGGCUGGAUCGAGGCAUUCCCCACCACUAAGGAAGCAGCGGACGUGGUGGCUACAAUACUCAUCGAGCACAUCAUCCCGAGGUUCGGAUUGCCCCGGACCCUCCAGUCAGACAACGGACCCACCUUCAUCUCCAGUGUAACCCAACAGGUAGCUGAGAGCCUCAACAUAACCUGGACACUUCACAUCCCAUACCACCCACAGUCAUUGGGGAAGGUAAAGAAGGCCAACGGGCUGCUCAAAGCCCAACUCACCAAACUUACCCUAGAAACCCGCCUUUCCUGGCCCACACUUCUGCCCCUGGCUCUCACCAGACUCCGGGCUACACCCCGAGGGCCUUCGGGCUUAAGCCCAUUCGAAUUACUAUACGGCUGGCCCUUUCUUAUAAAUCAUAGCCUUCCGGCCAUUUCCCUGCCUCUUUUAUCCUAUCUACCUUACCUCACUCUCCUCCGAGCUCUCUUAAGGGCCCACGCCGACGCUGUCAUCCCAGCCCCAAGCGACCAUGCUUCCGAAGGGGAUAUACGGGAUCUAUCUCCUGGGGACCAGGUCCUUCUCAAAGCUUGCGGCCAGGCUCCUUACAAACCCGGUGGACCGGGCCUCAUACGGUCGUCCUUACCACCCCAACUGCUGCGAAACUGUUGGGGCACUCUGCAUGGGUACGUAUCAACAAUCUCAAACGGGCACCCACAGAUACUGAUUGGACUUCCCAGAUGGCAGGCCCCACCAAACUCCGCUUGGUUAGGGCCCCUUCUCAUAUUCCUUCUAAUCCAGACAAACCAGGUGGAACCAUGUGAGUCUAGCUGCACGAGGGGUUCAGGUACCUCUCGCUAUUUUUCGGCCUUUACUUAUAUGCCUGCAACCUGCUACCAGGGAAAGGAACCAACAACCUGUACAUAUGACCAGAAAACCUAUUGGGUCUCUGACCUCGUGACAGCCAAACGCGGUAUUGCCCCCUGCAACAUCUACCCCAGGUCUGGAAAAGUUUGCUGGACCUAUCUGGGUCAUGUCGGUCUCUCUGACGGG